AAACGCUAUUUAAAGAAAGCGUUUAAAGAUAAGNCCUUGGACCCUGAGGGCUUAAAAAAUUCGCUUGUUCUGAAACCCCCUAAAGAUUCCAGAAUUCUCUGAAGAGGGAAAAAGGGGGAUUAUUAACAUUAAAAUGGACAAUUUCGGGACGCCCGGCGGUUACAGAAAAACCCCAUUUUUUUAAAAGGGGCGUGAGGCGGGAUAAAUUUAUUUUAAAAAAAAUGGAAAAAAAAUUGAUCUCGACUGUUAUACGUAUAUGUUAAACGGUAAACCAGAACCGAAAGAUAUUCUAACAAAUAAACUACUUGAACCCACGAAAGCUAAGAAACAAACUAGGAUUAGAUACCCUACUAUGCUUAGCCUUAAACUUUGGAACAACCCGCCUGAGUACUACGAGCCACAGCUUAAAACUCAAAGGACUUGGCGGUGCUCUACACCCCCCUAGAGGAGCCUGUUCUAUAAUUGAUACUCCCCGUUAAACCUCACCACUUAUUGCCAAUACCGCUUAUAUACCGCCGUCGUCAGCUCACCAUUUAAGGGAAAAUUUCUGGGUUUGUGUUAAACAUAAAACCGCGGGGGCAGGGGUGCCUAAUUAAGCGGAAAGAAUGGGCCAGAUUUCUGACCAGAAAAUUCAAAAAUUUUGUGAAAAACUGUUUAAGGGGGAUUAGGGGGAAAAGAAAAAAGUGUGUUUUUAAAAGGGCAAAAGGCGCUCCUCCUCCGUGGCCCUCCCGAAAGAAACCUUUUUUUUUGUAAAAAAUAAGAAAGAGUG
rnacentral:rRNA from 1 species